UAUGACCACAUCAUGUUGAAACACCGGUUCCCAUCUGAUUAUCGAAGUUAAGCAAUGUUGAGCUUGGUCAGUACCUACAUGGUAGGUGACUGCUUGUGAAUACCGGGUGCUAUA